AUUCAUUGAAGGCAACGGACACAUAAAACUGCAGUGCCUGAUCUGACGCGGGUCGGUACUACGUUUCUGGAGGGGUCUGGAUUCCCCAUUGGUUUUUUUAUUUUUGGAAGGUGGUUGAAUGUAUGGUUCGGCUCUGUAACUGGGAACACACACACACAAAAAAGAGAGAGAAGUCCACUCCUUUCGUCCUUUCUUUUUCUUCUCCCCCAAAAGGCCCUGCAUGUCUAACAUUUAGACAUGUUUAGCUUUGUGGAUUCGAGGACUGUACUGCUACUUGUAGCAACCCAAGUCGUUCUAUUAGCCGUUGUCAAAUGUCAGGACGAAGACCAGGACAUAGGCAGCUGUAUGCAGGACGGACAGAGCUAUAGUGACAAGGACGUAUGGGAACCAGAGCCGUGUCGUAUUUGUGUGUGCGGACACGGGAACUGUCCUGUGUGAUGAAAUAAUCUGCGAGGAGAUUAAAGACUGCCCAAAACCCGAGAUCCCAUUCGGAGAGUGUUGCCCCAUCUGUGUGCGGGACGGGGAAGCUCCCCCAAGUGGGUCCCCCGGAGCUAAGGUGAGACAAUUUGGGUUGGG